GGUCCUGUGGUGUAGUGGUUAUCACGUCUGCUUCACACGCAGGAGGUCGCCGGUUCGAUCCCAGCCAGGACCU
rnacentral:tRNA from 1 species